GACGAACGCUGGCGGCGUGCUUAACACAUGCAAGUCGAACGGAAAGGCCCUGCUUUUGUGGGGUGCUCGAGUGGCGAACGGGUGAGUAACACGUGAGUAACCUGCCCUUGACUUUGGGAUAACUUCAGGAAACUGGGGCUAAUACCGGAUAGGAGCUCUUGCUGCAUGUUGGGGGUUGGAAAGUUUCGGCGGUUGGGGAUGGACUCGCGGCUUAUCAGCUUGUUGGUGGGGUAGUGGCUUACCAAGGUUUUGACGGGUAGCCGGCCUGAGAGGGUGACCGGCCACAAUGGGACUGAGAUACGGCCCAGACUCCUACGGGAGGCAGCAGUGGGGAAUAUGGCACAAUGGGCGGAAGCCUGAUGCAGCAACGCCGCGUGCGGGAUGACGGCCUUCGGGGUAUAAACCGCUUUCGCCUGUGACGAAGCGUGAGUGACGGUAAUGGGUAAAGAAGCACCGGCUAACUACGUG
rnacentral:rRNA from 1 species